AAACAAUUUCCGUGAAGAGCCAGCUAAAUUCACCUGGAUUUAGAAAUGAGAAAAAGAUGUUCUUAAAGGACAUAUGAAGACUGUCUCCACUAAUUUAUGGAGAUAAUCUCUAGAAAGACCCUACUAUCUGCAGCUGUCGAGAGGAACCAGUUGCCUUCCAAGAAGGGUGACUCUAUUAAACUGAAGGACCUUUCGGCUGCUCAACAUCUUAAGGAGUCUCCUGUGAAAGCUGAU